rnacentral:rRNA from 1 species
UGGAGCAUGUGUUUAAUUCGAAGCAACGACGAAGAACCUUACCAGGUCUUGACAUCCCGAUGCUAUUUCUAGAGAUAGAAAGUUACUUCGGUACAUCGGUGACAGGUGGUGCAUGGUUGUCGUCAGCUCGUGUCGUGAGAUGUUGGGUUAAGUCCCGCAACGAGCGCAACCCCUAUUGUUAGUUGCCAUCAUUCAGUUGGGCACUCUAGCGAGACUGCCGGUAAUAAACCGGAGGAAGGUGGGGAUGACGUCAAAUCAUCAUGCCCCUUAUGACCUGGGCUACACACGUGCUACAAUGGUUGGUACAACGAGUUGCGAGUCGGUGACGGCGAGCUAAUCUCUUAAAGCCAAUCUCAGUUCGGAUUGUAGGCUGCAACUCGCCUACAUGAAGUCGGAAUCGCUAGUAAUCGCGGAUCAGCACGCCGCGGUGAAUACGUUCCCGGGCCUU